rnacentral:lncRNA from 1 species
AAACAUUCCAUUUCAUCAAACGUCACAGCAGUGUUACUUUUGAAUCUUCUCUGAACAUUCUGAAACAUUUGUAACAUUUAAAAAAAAUGUUAGACAAACAUCUUACUAAAACAAAAAGUAAGAUGUUUGACGAAUGUCUUGUGCUAGCGUUUGAGAACAUGAUUCAGUACCAGGUGAGAAACAUUAGUAAGCAUGUUCUCUGUGAGCGGGGUUCUGCUGUCUAUGUAGAGCACAGCACAGGUUUUGGAGCAGAGCCACAGGUCGGGAGGAUUUUUGGAGCAGGUCCCAGAAGAGGCCUUGAAUGGGAACUGAAGUACUGGAUCUUUGUUGUUUUGGCUGGAACGCUGUGGGUUAAACAUCUCGGAGUGAGUCCAUGA